CACAAAUCGACCAUAACCUAUAUUUCAACACUCGGUCGUGUCAAUAAUGUUCUCUCUCUAUCGAACACCCGUUCGAGUAUAAUCGAAUCGAGCGAAAUCGUUAAAAGCAUCGUUAACGCUCGUUUCGCACGGUUUACAGAACAAUUAUUAAGAGGGGGGCCCCGUUGAAUAAUUAGUCGGCAAGAAGCUAAUGAUAGCCACCAGCCGAGAUAAAAAGCGAGAAACACGGGCGUCGCAUCGAAUCAAUUAAUUUCACUGGUCGGCCGGCUACGUGACGUUCAUUAAUUACGUUGUUCACAACGAUUUCUCGCGAGCCUAAUAAAUUCGAACUCGUUUUGAGAGCGCGUGACACGGGGCGACGUUAAUCAUUAACGUGCGGUGAUUACUCGUACUAAAGAUCACUCGCAGGAUGUGAUGCAUUUUGUCGAAAUCGAUGUGAUUUUCGCGAUGUGAGUGAUAUAUACAUAUAUAUAUAUAUUACUGACAAGUGAUGCGUGCUUUUAAAAUCAUAUGCUAAUUAUAUGCGAUUUUCAGUUUAAACUUUUGACGUGUCUGUUAAUGAAUUAUGAAUUCGAUGAUUGAAAAGGUUCAUCUUUACCUAUGGAUCGAAGACAUUUUUGCUUUUUUUUCUCUCUCGUGAUUUAUUAAUUUUUAGUUCUUAACUAGAAUGUCUGGUGAAAAGGAGAUGGUGAGAGAGAGGGGAAAAAAGGUGUUAGUAAAAUGACAGAAAGAGAGGAUGAGAGGAGGAAUUGUAGAAUAGUGAGAAAUGAAGCGUGAAAGGAAAAGGGACAAACGAGAAGUGAAAAGAAAACGAAUAUGGUAGAAGUGUGGAUAUGAAAAGGGGGAAGAAGAAAGAAAUGAGGAAUUUCAAGAAGAAUAGUUGGAAAACGAGAUAGAAAAUAACAAUGUGGCAAGAUUAAAAAGAAGAAAGUAGAAGGGAAAAAGUGAGGAAAUAUGGUUCUAAAUGGCCCCUUUGGUAGUGGAAUAAGUAUUGUUGUGCCGAAGAUGCGAGGCGAUAAUGUCGGAAUAGGAUACGGUAAGAAGCUCUUAACCGUUCGUGAAAGUUGAUAAAAGAUAAAUUAACGUUAUUAUACGGCGAGUAGGCGGCUGAUCGACAAGAGAUACUUCGUGUCAGACAAUGGACUGGCAGCAUGACUAAGUGGCUACUUGAAGUGCACCGUACUUGGAACCCACUCGUAUGAAGAGCAAAUAUUAUUUAUCUCGUAACAACUAGUCCGCCGUAAUUGCGUCGAUACGAAUGUUUCCACGUUAACGUGGACAAACUUAAUUCACGGAUUCCUUUUUUAUCUUAGAUCCUUGUACAAAAGAUUACAUAAUGUAUCACACACAGUGUUCACCGUACACAUUUAUUUGCAAUCAAAAAAUUCAAACGGAAUUUUAUCCCCCUUUCUUUCGAUUUGUUUCAAUAUGUAAUAUGUCAACGUUAAAAACAACGCAAAAAAGAUUCGUAACUUCGAAGCAAGAUACGCAAACGUAAACACAUGGCGCGCAAUAAGAAGAAAAUAGAAAAAGAGAGACGAAAAUAAAACGAAAGAUAAAGGAAGAAAACUAAUUCGAAGGAAGAGGCGAUGAAACAGGAGACGAAAUGGAUGACUGAACAAUUACUCGUCACGUUGGCCAUGCUCCCCAGUUCCUUCACAAGUUUUCGGGUCAUUGAAGACAGCUGUGGACGGAUCGCGCGCGUUAAUGUCGCGUGCCGCGUAACGAUCUGGCCGCAUUUGUUAUUCCUCGGAAAUGGGACGAGCCGGGCGGACGAGCGAGCCUUGCAAACACAGCAUUAUCAUCGUCGUUAGAGAAAGCACCGACCUUUCGAGCAUUUCUCGGCUCGUCGGCUCGGCGCCGCUCGUCCUCCGUGUCGCACUCAAAAUAAUGACGGCUCGCGCUUCGAUGCUGCGGCUAUUGCCUCCUCUUUCCCCUCCCUUCCUCUCCCCCACCUCUUUUGGUCGUUCUCUUCCACCGUACGCUUCCAAGAUUUUUCUUCGUUACGUCACUGACCGACCGUCCGUGGUGAGCCGAGUUUCCUGAGACAAAGGAGGAGCGGGGGGACGGAAGGGGACGUUUCUUCUUCUCAAUUGUCUUUACGCGACGAGUUUUCAAGCGAUUUGCUCGCGAAGAAUUCUUUUGAAGGCCGAAGUCGAGAGUUCAGUGAGCUCUGGGUACUUUGCAGCAAUGGUGCACGCCGAUAUGGCGAAUGGAAAAAGAAUUUGUCAUGGAAAGUUAUUGUAUUUUAUUAGGCUAAUGGGACACUUGGAGGUUUUGGAAAAGGAGCACGAGCAACGAUUCGUGUUCGAGGAAACCGUGAAUAAUGGCACAGCCAUCCCCUCGAAACUGCUUUCCAACGUAAAUGUGAUUAACGAUGAAAUACGAGCGGAAUAUUUUUGAAAAAAAAUUUAAUAGUAAGAUUCAGAACGAUAUUUUUCGGAAUAGAAUAGAUGGAAUUAUAAAUUUUGAUAUACUUUAAUUUUUUUUUCAUUGCGUUUCUAUCAAAUUAUUCUUAAUCCUUUCAUUUUAACUAUUCUAACUUGAAAUUCCUUUUUUAAAAUUCUUCCAAAUCAUCCAAACGCAUUUCGAUCUUCACCAAUACAAUUAUCCAAAUUAGAAUUCAAUUUCCUUCUCCUUUCCUUUUCUCUCUUCUAUCGUAUCUGCUGUCGGUAAGUUACGUCAAAGCUGUAAUCGUCGCGACCGUGCAAAAAUGAGACACGCUCCAGCAUCAUAGGUCGAAGAAAAGAGCAACGCAAUAUCAAGUGGUCGGAGGAAGGGAAGAAAGAGUGGUCGUGGGAGGCGUGAAGAUAACGAGAAAACGAAGGAACGCGAGUCAUGGGAAGACAGGAGGACAAAAACGUCGUCGGUGGCCAGGUAUUUUUGCAUUAUCGUCACGCGCGCGCGUUCUUAUUACCGGCACACGUGGCGUAAUAUUCUCCCCUUCUCCCAUUUUGGCAUCGCCCCUACCACCUUCCUUCUCUGGACUCGUUCUCGCGGCUUUUCCCCCCCUCUUUCUUUUUCGCCACGCUGUUCGCAUUGUUAGAAUGCGACAGGCGGUGCUCAUCCACCAUGGAACCAGAAGAAGGGUGGAUGAUCGAAUAGUGGCAAAGUUUGCAACCUACCACUUCGGGUGAUGAUACAUAUACUUCGGCGUCGAUCCUUCGAAGCUUUAAGUCGUGUCGUGGAAGGGCAGAGAUAGCGAGUGGAAAAAGAGAAAGUGUAUGUGUAGCGCAGAAUAAGAGAGAGAGAGAAAGAUAGCUGUGGUGGAAACCCUAACCCCAAGUGUCUUUGUUCUUCGCCAUCUUUUUCUUAACUCAUUGCCUCUCAUCUCGACACGUAGGCGACCGACCUUUCCCCGGUUCAACCUGCUCCGUUCGUCCGUGUCUCCUAAUAACGUCUCUUCUCCCAUCGAAUGACGCUUCUUUGUCCUUUUUUUUCGGCUGCUCUGUCUAUCUCUCUCUCUGGACGCGCUCGUUUGUCGGUGGGGCGCGCGUGUCGCGAACAGCAGCCACGAACGUGACCGGCUUCGACAAUAUCGUGCUGCCAUCGUGUAUCGGUUCCGUGAUCCGAUGCUGCGGAACGAUGUUUCGAAGUUUCGGGUGCUGAUGUGCAUAAUUUUAGGACUUGUUAGCAACGAAGAUAACAGAUUGGUGUAUCAAUAGGGAGGGAUUCGAAGAAUUCGAAUAUCUUGUGCUAUUUAAAAGUGUGAAGUAUAUUAAAGAUAUUUUUUAAUUGUAUUUAUUUGUCCAAAAUAUACUUUUUUAAAAUGGAA